rnacentral:rRNA from 1 species
CCUACGGGCGGCUGCAGUGGGGAAUAUUGCACAAUGGGCGCAAGCCUGAUGCAGCCAUGCCGCGUGUGUGAAGAAGGCCUUCGGGUUGUAAAGCACUUUCAGCGGGGAGGAAGGCGGUGAGGUUAAUAACCUCAUCGAUUGACGUUACCCGCAGAAGAAGCACCGGCUAACUCCGUGUCAGCAGCCGCGGUAAUACGGAGGGUGCGAGCGUUAAUCGGAAUUACUGGGCGUAAAGCGCACGCAGGCGGUCUGUCAAGUCGGAUGUGAAAUCCCCGGGCUCAACCUGGGAACUGCAUUCGAAACUGGCAGGCUAGAGUCUUGUAGAGGGGGGUAGAAUUCCAGGUGUAGCGGUGAAAUGCGUAGAGAUCUGGAGGAAUACCGGUGGCGAAGGCGGCCCCCUGGACAAAGACUGACGCUCAGGUGCGAAAGCGUGGGGAGCAAACAGGAUUAGAUACCCGGGUAGUC